GGAAGGGUGGCCGAGCGGUUGAAGGCAGCGGUCUUGAAAACCGCCAGAGGUUAUCCCGCCCUAUCUCCUCCU
rnacentral:tRNA from 1 species